rnacentral:rRNA from 1 species
GACGAACGCUGGCGGCGUGCUUAACACAUGCAAGUCGAACGGUAAGGCCCUUCGGGGUACACGAGUGGCGAACGGGUGAGUAACACGUGGGUGAUCUGCCCUGCACUUCGGGAUAAGCCUGGGAAACUGGGUCUAAUACCGGAUAGGACUCCUGGCUUCAUGGUUGGGGGUGGAAAGCUUUUGCGGUGUGGGAUGGGCCCGCGGCCUAUCAGCUUGUUGGUGGGGUAAUGGCCGACCAAGGCGACGACGGGUAGCCGGCCUGAGAGGGUGACCGGUCACACUGGGACCGAGAUACGGCCCAGACUCCUACGGGAGGCAGCAGUGGGGAAUAUUGCACAAUGGGCGCAAGCCUGAUGCAGCGACGCCGCGUGAGGGAUGACGGCCUUCGGGUUGUAAACCUCUUUUAGCUAUGACGAAGCGCAAGUGACGGUAGUAGCAGAAGAAGGACCGGCCAACUACGUGCCAGCCGCCGCCGUAA